AGGUGGGAGGCUUUGAGUAUAUGACGCCAGUUGUAUAUGAGCCAUUGUUGAGAUACCACUCUUUCUUAUUUGGGUAGCUAACCAGCUUGAGUUAUCCUCAAGUGGGACAAUGUCUGGUGGGUAGUUUGACUGGGGCGGUCGCCUCCCAAAUAAUAACGGAGGCUUACAAAGGUUGGCUCAGAACGGUUGGAAAUCGUUCGUAGAGUAUAAAGGUAUAAGCCAGCUUAACUGCAAGACAUACAAGUCAAGCAGAGACGAAAGUCGGUCUUAGUGAUCCGGUGGUUCUGUGUGGAAGGGCCAUCGCUCAAAGGAUAAAAGGUACCCCGGGGAUAACAGGCUGAUCUCCCCCAAGAGCUCACAUCGACGGGGAGGUUUGGCACCUCGAUGUCGGCUCA
rnacentral:rRNA from 1 species